rnacentral:rRNA from 1 species
UGGGGAAUCUUGCCCAAUGGGCGAAAGCCUGAGGCAGCAACGCCGCGUGUGGGAUGACGGCCCUUGGGUUGUAAACCACUUUCAGCAGGGACGAAAAUGACGGUACCUGCAGAAGAAGCCCCGGCCAACUACGUGCCAGCAGCCGCGGUAAGACGUAGGGGGCGAGCGUUGUCCGGAUUUAUUGGGCGUAAAGGGUUCCUAGGCGGCUGACAAAGUCGGGUGUGAAACCUCCAGGCUCAACCUGGAGACGCCACCCGAUACUGGUCUGGCUAGAGUCCGGUAGGGGCGAACGGAAUCUCCGGUGUAGCGGUGAAAUGCUUAGAUAUCGGAGGGAACACCAGUGGCGAAGGCGGUUCGCUGGGCCGGAACUGACGCUGAAGAACGAAAGCGUGGGUAGCAAACAG